GUAACGCUGUAAAGGUGAGAAGCAGAGAUUUUGAAAUGAAUUAGACAUUUAUAUCAACAUUAUGAUUAUAUAACAGAUUUAUCAACACGGAAAAUCAUGUGGCUUUCAUUAGUUAGCCGUUGGUGACAGCUUUGCUAGUUAAUGCGAAUACACAAAGAUUCCAGCAGGUCAAUAUUUAUCUGCGGCGUGUUUGUUAAAUGUAAUCUGUGGUGUUUGUACAACUAAUAACUGGGCUAAAUGAAUGUCAACAGCGAUAAAUUGGUAGUUUAUCUGUGUACAUUCCGCAUAUGUGCAUAUUAUAUGUAUAUACAUAUGUAUAUAUAUAUGUACAUGAAUAUGAUUAUAGUCCCAAAAGAGACUAACCUUACUCGAUAGAAUUCAAAAUUCCUUUGGCUCUAAAUUGCAUAACAAAGGUAUUUUUGGUUUCAAAGACGUAGUGAUCGAGAAUGUAGGUCACUGAAAGCCGAUCGAUGAUAGUGAAGAUUCGACGAAGUAUUAAAUCUAAAAUUUCUAGAGAUGAGACCUCGUUUUAAUUUCAGAACUUUCGAGACAAUGGGAGUCAUCCAUAUAUUAUUUCGUAAACUGUAACUUCAAAUCAAAAUGUAAACAAACCCAAGCUAAAGGUCACUGACCUCGGACAAGAUUUAAAUAAAUUCAUGUCAAUGGCUAUUGUCUUCGACCAAAAUGUAAACAAAUCCCAGGCAAAGGUCAUUGACCCCUGACCAAAAUGUAAACAAACCCGAGUCAAGGGUCAUGGUCAAAUGUAAGCAAAACAAGUAAGUCAAAUGUAAGGCUAAGUUCGGUUGUGACUGAACAUUUUAUACCCUCGCAAUUUAUUUAUUUAAUAUUAUAUAAUACACAAUUUGACCCACGUAUUCGACAUAUAUAUGGUAUAAAGUCCAUUGAAAGUUUGAAACCCUAAUAUUAGAUUGGAAGCACCGAGGUCCUCAUGUACGAUAUAUAGGGCCCUUGAAAACCUAUGGUCAGAUUUCGGCGAUUUUUAGAAAGGGGCUGCCACACUAUAAAAGCAGUAUUUAUGCAAAGUUCUGUUCCGAUAUGUUCACUAUUGCUUACUUUAUAUAUUGUAAAGAAAAAGAUUCGGGUCGACUUCAAACUUCUGGUAUAUAGGAAGUAGGCGUUGUUGUGAAUCGAUUGGGCCUAUUUUCACAACAUAUCAUUGGGAUGUAAGGAAAAUAUUACAAACCGAAUUUCAUUGAUAUUGGUCGAGUAGAAGAUAUGGAUUUUGACCCAUAAGUGGGCGGAGCCACACCCACUUAAAAUUGUGUGUACCAAUUUGGGUGGAGCCCUUCUGUACCUUCUUUAUAAUGAAAUUUAAGGUUUCUGGUAUUUUCCCUUACUGAAUUAAAGCAUUUUUGGUAGUUUUCAACAUAACCUUUGUAUGGGAGAUGGGCGUGGUUAUAAUCCGAUAUCCUCCAUUUUUGGACUGUAUAAGGCAGUACCUAAAAGAAAGUUUGGUUGAUAUAGCUCAAGUAGUUUACGAGAUAUGUAUAAAAAACUUAGUAAGGGGCGGGGCCACGCCCACUUCUCCAAAAAAAUUACAUCCAAAUAUGCCCCUUCAUAGUGCCAUCCUUUGUACCAAAUUUCCAUAACUUUAUUUAUGGCUUAGUUAUGGCACUUUAUGUGUUUUCGGUUUUCGCCAUUUUGUGGGCGUGGCAGUGGUCUGAUUUUGCCCAUAUUCGAAAGCAACUUUCCUAUGGUGCCAAGAAACAAGUGUGCCAAGAUUCAUCAAGACGGACGGACCGACAGAUAGACAUCCGGAUUUGAACUCCACUUUUCACACUGAUCACUUUGGUAUAUAUAACCCUAUAUCUAACUCUUUUAGUUUUGGGUGUUACAAACAACCGUUAUGUGAACAAAACUAUAAUACUCUCUUAGCAACUUUGCUGCGAGAGUAUAAAACCAAAAAAAUGUAUAUAUAUCCAAGCCAAAGAAUAUUGACUCGUCCUCGACCAAAAUAUAAACAAACACCAGCCAAAGGUUAUUGACCCGGCUAAGGUUUGUUUGAAUGUUAAGAGGUCACGUUUGUCAGGUUUCUUUACAUUUUGAGUGGUCGCAGAAUAGCUAAGAUUCGAUCUUCAAUUAUUAUUACCAUUAAAGACAAUAAACGUAAUUCUUAUAGUCAACUAUCGAAUAGUACAUUUCUGGAUCCCGUAUUUUCGGAAUUAGAAGUAUAAUACAUUAAUAUUACAUAAUGUAUAUUAUAAUGUUCGGCUGACGAGGCGGAGAUAUCUUGUUGAAAUUUUGGUAUAGACGUUAAUUUAAAUAUUUUACUGUUUUGAUACUCGAUUUUUUUUUUAAAUCCUUUGGAAACAUCAUUUUGUUAUAUGGUGUGAAAAUUAUGGAAAUCGGUUAAUGACUACACUCAACUGCCGAACUUAUCCCGUCUUUACUUGUUAGUUAAAAAAAUCAAACAAAAUUGUUUAAGUAAUCAAACUUGCUUACGUAUGCAGAUACGAAAAUAUGCAUAUUUAAACAUGUAUACCUCGUAGAUUCUCCAAUAUAUUUAUUGGUAUAACAAUAUGAGCAUAUUCAAAAUUAAAUUCGUCAAUUCGCUAAUUUCAUGCUAAAUUUACAGCAAAUAUUUACAAAAAAAUUUAGGCUAAGCGUGCAAAAUAUAAAGUGAGCACUAUUUCCAACACACCGACUAAACUUUUAAAGGGUACCUGUAUGGAUAUUAAAGGGUGAUUUUUUAAGAGCUUGAUAACUUUUUUUUUAAAAAAAAACGCAUAAAAUUUGCAAAAUCUCAUCGGUUCUUUAUUUGAAACGUUAGAUUGGUUCAUGACAUUUACUUUUUGAAGAUAAUUUCAUUUAAAUGUUGACCGCGGCUGCGUCUUAGGUGGUCCAUUCGGAAAGUCCAAUUUUGGGCAACUUUUUCGAGCAUUUCGGCCGGAAUAGCCCGAAUUUCUUCGGAAAUGUUGUCUUCCAAAGCUGGAAUAGUUGCUGGCUUAUUUCUGUAGACUUUAGACUUGACGUAGCCCCACAAAAAUAGUCUAAAGGCGUUAAAUCGCAUGAUCUUGGUGGCCAACUUACGGGUCCAUUUCUUGAGAUGAAUUGUUCUCCGAAGUUUUCCCUCAAAAUGGCCAUAGAAUCGCGAGCUGUGUGGCAUGUAGCGCCAUCUUGUUGAAACCACAUGUCAACCAAGUUCAGUUCUUCCAUUUUUGGCAACAAAAAGUUUGUUAGCAUCGAACGAUAGCGAUCGCCAUUCACCGUAACGUUGCGUCCAACAGCAUCUUUGAAAAAAUACGGUCCAAUGAUUCCACCAGCGUACAAACCACACCAAACAGUGCAUUUUUCGGGAUGCAUGGGCAGUUCUUGAACGGCUUCUGGUUGCUCUUCACCCCAAAUGCGGCAAUUUUGCUUAUUUACGUAGCCAUUCAACCAGAAAUGAGCCUCAUCGCUGAACAAAAUUUGUCGAUAAAAACAUUUCGAACCGAACACUGAUUUUGGUAAUAAAAUUCAAUGAUUUGCAAGCGUUGCUCGUUAGUAAGUCUAUUCAUGAUGAAAUGUCAAAGCAUACUGAGCAUCUUUCUCUUUGACACCAUGUCUGAAAUCCCACGUGAUCUGUCAAAUACUAAUGCAUGAAAAUCCUAACCUCAAAAAAAUCACCCGUUAUAUUCCAUGUGAGAAAUCAAUAGAUUCGUUUUUAGAGAUGUGCUAUACGAGAAAAUCGAUAACAUUUAGAUUUUGUAAUUCUGACUCGAGAGUACACCCAUUAAUAAAGUUCUGACGGUUUUGUCGACUUUCACUGGGUGAUCGUUCUAGGUUACCGAGACCAUUUAAUAAUUAUAAAACGAGGAACUGGAUACAAUACAGUUCACGCUAUCACAUUCGAUUAUCCAACAUUAAGAACAAUUAAAAACUAUUAAUAAUCUCUAGAAGAAGAGAUACGCUUUCCAUUUUUAGUGAAUCCACAGCUGAUUGUCAACUAAGAUCACAGCUGUCAUCAUUAGAUGUCAACUUAUGCAACAAAAUUUUCUUACAGGGCAUAUAUUUAGACUUUUUUGAACAAUCAGUCAGUCAGAACUAGUGUAAACAAAUAUUCGUGGCACCAAAGUUUGCAUAUUCAUAAGUGUUAAACACGCGGACUGCUGCGUCAAGUGUUGGUAACAACCAAUAGCUGACACUUCUUUUCGUAAUGGCUGUGUUCAAUUGUCAAUAGCAUGAAACUUGUGACAAUUAAAUUAACAAUAUAGUGCCAAAGGUAUAAAAUUACUUUUACGUCAGCGACGCAUGCGUGUUAUGGAUGUUCAAUAACAAAGUUGUGAAGUGAAGUUGUAAUGUUUACUUGUCUGAAGGUGGGGAAUAUACGCAUUUUAACAAAUUUGGUGUUAAAAUAUUCUAAAGCAAAUCGGAUAUAAAUACUCAGAACACUUUUAUAGUGAAACUGGGAUGGUGGCUUUUAUAAAAACCCCUAACUUUCAAUAUGAUAGAGAAGUGAUCACGUCAACUUCUUAGAAUAACUAAAUAACUGUGAACGCUACAGAGAGUAGAUAAUGGAAUUGUUUUAAGCUCAAAGGACUGUGCCUUUUGGAUCUGUUCUCCAGAAAGAAGUUAGUAAUUUCAAAUAAUGUCACAUUUAUCUAAAUUUAUAACGAUGUCUAUUCGAAGUACUUCUGAACUAAACUAAAUUAGGUAACUGGUUAAAAUUUUUCUAAUAAUACUACAUACAAUUUUUAUCAGAACACUUUCUUCUAUUUCUAAGCAUUACUGCGUGUGACCCCUUUCAUAAUUGUUAAUUGUAUAAAAUUUGCUCUAAAUUUAAAUUGAAUAUAUUAAUCGCUCAGAUUUCAAGUGCUUCCUGCCAACUGAUAACAAAUGAAAUUGAAUUUUAUUAAUAAAUUUGACGGUAUCAAAUUUCCAUGGAGAUAUAAAUAAUUGCCAAGCAUAUCUUAGAAUAUUGAAUGUGCUAUUGGUAGAAUACAAUCAAAGACUAUUCAUUUUUUUCUAGUAUGUAUGUAUGAAUAUAGUUGUUGAAUAUUAACUGCUUUGAGCAUUGAAUGAUCGAAUCGAUUACCGAAAAUGUGGUGAACUUCACAAUAACAUUGAUUAUAAUUAUUUUCGUUCAAUUGUUGUCGAGUGUAUACUUUUUAUAACCAACAGUUAUUAAUAGAAAAUUAAAUAAAGAAUAUAAUGGAUGAAUUAAUAGUUAGAAAAUUAACUAGAGAGCGGAAACCCAGUCAAUCUACUGACAGGUUCAAGUUUAGACAACAA